AAUUAAAUAAAUUGAACUAAUGUGUUCUUCGGAUUAAAUUUACUGUAAAUAUUAUAAACAACUUUAUAAUGUUUUUUUUUUUAAAUUUAUGUCAAAAUAAAUAUCGUAAUUUAUUAUAAAAUUAUUUUUUGGGAUAUGAUUAUGCGGCGAAACUAUUUUUGGAAUAGAGAAUGUUUUAAGUUUCAAUAAACUCACGGAAUUCGUCCAUUCUCAGCUUACUAGCUUUGGAUUUUAGUGUGUUUCGGGAAGCAGGAGCUGAAGGACCUACAUUACUGUCCAAGGAUAAGUCGCCAACCACUCAUUACAAUAGAUAAUGGAACAUCUCUAAUCUCCAUUGGACCAGUCUAAAAUGCAGUUAAAGUUCUUUGUACAAUUUUUUACGGUUCUGGAAUAAAGUGUUUCUGUGUACAUGUCGUGGUGUCGGCCGGCGAUAAUAGGUGAUGCAUUGGACACGGUGAUUGAAUG